rnacentral:rRNA from 1 species
GACGAACGCUGGCGGCGUGCCUAAUACAUGCAAGUAGAACGCUGAAGGAAGGAGCUUGCUCUUUCUGGAUGAGUUGCGAACGGGUGAGUAACGCGUAGGUAACCUGCCUGGUAGCGGGGGAUAACUAUUGGAAACGAUAGCUAAUACCGCAUAAAAUUGAUUAUUGCAUGAUAGUCAAUUAAAAGGUGCAACUGCACCACUACCAGAUGGACCUGCGUUGUAUUAGCUAGUUGGUGGGGUAACGGCUCACCAAGGCGACGAUACAUAGCCGACCUGAGAGGGUGGUCAGCCACACUGGGACGGGGACACGGCCCAGACUCCUACGGGAGGCAGCAGUAGGGAAUCUUCGGCAAUGGACGGAAGUCUGACCGAGCAACGCCGCGUGAGUGAAGAAGGUUUUCGGAUCGUAAAGCUCUGUUGUAAGGGAAGAACGAGUGUGAGAGUGGAAAGUUCACACUGUGACGGUAACUUACCAGAAAGGGACGGCUAACUACGUG